AAUUUUUUACUGAUUGAGUGCAUGAUCAAAAAAGUUUGGAGACCGUUGGACUAAAGGACCUCUUGAGGUCCCUUCCAGUCCUAUGAUUUCAUGAUUUCAACAGCAAGACCAGUUUACGUAUCUGAUUUUUGGAAACCCUGUUGCAUAAGCAUAUCGCAAAAGCGGCACCAACCCAAAUCCAAGCACAGUGUAGACUCUACACCCAGCACCCCCAGGCUGCAACAUUAGCAACGAGAAAUAAGUCAAAGCAAAGCUGCCCUUUGGCAUUUUUUUCGUCUGGAAGAGGAAAAUCAAGGUGUCUCCACACUAUGUGUAGAAAGGCACUGAAGGUAAACGUAUACUUUAUAACUGUGUCGCUUGGGACCAGCUGCAGUUGUCUGGCUCCUGAAUUCAGGACAGCUGUGCCAGGGCUAAGAUAGGUGAUUGUCUGCUAGCCUUUACAUCAAGGGUACGCAACCUACCAAAGAUCCAUCUACUCCAGUCUCUCUCUCUCUCUCUCUCUCUCUCUGACAGCAGCCCAUACCAAAUCCUUCCAAGGAAAGUGCAAGAAACACCAGGAAGGACAAAUGAUUAUUCCUGGUUUGUAUGUCAAUCAAGAUUGGAAUAGACCAGACCUCUGGGGAAAGUUUCCUGGAAUGAAACCUGGUCUACACAGAAAUUGCUCCCUUUUAACUAAAUCAGGUUCCAAAUAGAUGUAGUAAAAUUAGUUCAACCUACUUGUGUGGAUACUACUAAAUGGGUUUAAGAUGCCCCAGGAUCAAUUAGCUCAAACUGGAGCCACUUAAUCUUUGUGCUUUUAGCUUAAGAUAAAAAGCAGCAUCUGUCCCUCAAGAGUGUCCACACUGUUCUGCACCGAAUCAGAAAUUGGAUUUAGAUCGAUCAGUACAAUGUACAUAUGCAGACAUGCCCAAGCACAGGAUAGUUAAAGGGAUUGGUAAUGAGAUAUACAGCCUUUCACUCCUAUCUUGCCUGUUCAAAUGUAGCCACGGUUUCCACUGAUCUCAAGUUGUCACCACCUGAUGGCGGGCUAAAGUGGCUUUCUCCAAUAUGAAUUUGAUGGCUCUCAGUCCAGUUCACAGUGGACAGGUGUCCACAUCGUAUGAGAAGUGACACUAAUUGGCGCCGCUGUGGGCACUCGGAGGCCAAGAUCUGAAAAAAGGAUGGAGAAUUAACUCUCCCCUCUCUCUCUCUCAGACAUUGUCCCCUUUGGGACAUAGGGAAAGUAUGUGGUGGAGCUGACUGCAUCGUUGGUGCUCAUGCUGUCCUUGUUUAUUGAGAAAUAAGGCACUUGCAACACACUGAAUCACAGGGAAAGCAAUAUUAGCUGUCACCCGAGCAAAAGGGUAGAUUAACCUCCAGAGCGCUUACAAAUAUUGUAAAAAUCAAAAUUCAUGUCACAGCUGCACCCAGACGCCCCAUUUGAGAUCCAGGACCCCUUGUACUGGGUGUUCUAAGAUACGUAGCAAGAGAUAGUCUGUGUCCAGAAGAGUUUACAUGAUGAAUAGACAAGACAAAUUAUCCAUAUUUUGCAGGUGGGGAACUGAGAAUACGUCUACACUGGAGUGGGAGGCAUAAUUUCCAACUUGGGUAGAUGCACCUGAGUUAGCUCUGAUCUAGCUAACAUGCUAAAAUAUAGCAGUGUAGCCACGGUGGUGCAGAUGACAAGCCAGGGUAGAUGUCCUGAUACAAUCCCAUCCAAAACCCUAGGUGUGUACUUCAGGCACUCGCCGAUGGUGCCACAGCUUUAUUGCUAAUUUUCAGCACAUUAGCUAAAUCAGAGCUAGUACCGGAAAUGACAUCUCCCGUGUAAAUGUACCACGAGGCAUCAAGAGGAUUUCCACAAGCGUCACAUCAGGAGUUGGUUGCUGAGCCACAGACUGAACCCAAAUCUUACAAAUUCAAGUCCAGAGCCUUAUCCAGAAGAUCAUCUUUAUCAGCUAGAUACUAUUCCAUAAUAAAUCUAUUGCCAAGCACCAUGGGAAAAAGCUCAGCUGAAAGAUACGCAGGGGCAAAUUCUGCUUUCAUUUACAGUGGUGCAAAUUGACUGAUGUCACUGGGGUUGCACUGGCGAGACAGAGCUGAAUUAGGCCUGCAGACGCCUCCAAAAAUAAUAGGAGGUGAGAAAGGCACAAUGGAAACAUACGGCUUUUAAAGAGUAUACAUAAAAUAUUUAAAAAUAGAUAAAUUAUAUAUAAGUGUAUACAAUGCCCAGAGAUGCCUCGAUUUAUAUGAUAGGGUUUCUGUAGAGCAGUUGAGCUCCAGGCAACAGAAAUGAGAAGUCAAGCUGAACUGCAAUACUGUAUUCCAGAGACGGUGACAUCUUAUAACAGAGAACAGAGCUACCCCCCGGGCACUGUGUAAAAAUUAUGACAUAGCAGCAAAACAACGUAAGUUAAUUUCACUGAAAUUACCAACAGUUUCCUUCCCUUGAGUGCAUGAUGAGGUAGAAUCCAAUUCAGAAGGUGAGGAAUGUUUAGAGAGUCGAGGCCUUUGGUUGGCUAAAUUGUAGUCAAUGUUUCAGAAUUUUUCUGUGUCUUUUAAAUAAAGGGACACACCAAGAUUUUGGUGGGUUUUUUUUUUUUUUAAAAAACACUGCUUUUUCACCCACUUGGGAGCUUCAAAAUUAAACCUGCUUCUUUGUCAAACUACAUGUUCCUCGGUCGGGCGCAUAGAUUGGAUGGCUCUAGCGGAGGACUGUUCACCAGUUCUGUGCUGGUGGAACUGUUCACGGUCGUGUUCAGGGGUGCGCUUCUCCCUACCAGCCUGGUGGAUAUAAACCAGGACAUCACUGAUAAAGAGGAAGUGGCAAGACUAGGAGUUGAAAGUAGAACGCAGACGGUCUUGACAAUUCCAGGAUUCAUUAUGUGACCUUGCACUUCACGGCUCCGUGCCUCAGUUUCCCCAUGCUUCAAGGGAUGGUGAGGAAAUUGGGAGUAUGCACCUCCCCCCCGUAGCAGUUCUCAAAGUUACUUUGAUGCAAACUUUAAACACAACCAUAAGAGGGGAGGAGAUUAAAUGAUCUAGUAACAACUUCUAGUAACAGUAGAACCGGGGG